rnacentral:rRNA from 1 species
AGUCGGACGAGAAAGCCCUUCGAGGUGAGUAGAGUGGCGCACGGGAGAGUAAUGCAUGGGAACGUACCUUUAGGAGGGGAAUAACCACGGGAAACUGUGGCUAAUACCGCAUAAUCUGGCAACAAUAAAGAUGGCCUCUACUUGUAAGCUAUCACCUAAAGAUCGGCCCAUGUCCCAUUAGCUAGUUGGCGGGGUAAUGGCCCACCAAGGCUACGAUGGGUAGCUGGUCUGAGAGGAUGAUCAGCCUCACUGGAACUGAGACACGGUCCAGACUCCUACGGGAGGCAGCAGUAGGGAAUUUUGCACAAUGGACGCAAGUCUGAUGCAGCAACGCCGCGUGUGUGAGGAAGGCCCUUGGGUCGUAAAGCACUUUCGGGCAUGAAGAAGGGUUUUAAGGUGAACAAUCUUAAGAUUUGACGGUAAUGCAAGAAGAAGCACCGGCUAACUCCGUGCCCGCAGCCGCGGUAAUACGGAGGGUGCAAGCGUUGUUCGGAAUUACUGGGCGUAAAGCGCGCGUAGGCGGGCUAGUAAGUCGAUUGUGAAAGCCCGGAGCUCAACUCCGGAAUUGCAGUCGAUACUGCUAGUCUUGAAUACUUGAGAGGAUGGCGGAAUUCCCGGUGUAGGAGUGAAAUCCGUAGAUAUCGGGAGGAACACCCGAGGCGAAGGCGGCCAUCUGGUGAUGUAUUGACGCUGAGGCGCGAAAGCGUGGGUAGCAAACAGGAUUAGAUACCCUGGUAGUCCACGCCGUAAACGAUGAUUACUAGGUGCUCGCAGUGUUAACCCUGUGGGUACCGUAGCUCACGCAUUAAGUAAUCCGCCUGGGGAGUACGGUCGCAAGGCUAAAACUCAAAGGAAUUGACGGGGGCCCGCACAAGCGGUGGAGUAUGUGGUUUAAUUCGAGGCAACGCGCAGAACCUUACCUGGUCUUAACAUUUACUGACAACCCUAGAGAUAGGGC